rnacentral:rRNA from 1 species
UACGUAGGGUGCAAGCGUUGUCCGGAAUUAUUGGGCGUAAAGAGCUCGUAGGCGGUCUGUCGCGUCGGCUGUGAAAACUCGGGGCUCAACCCCGAGCCUGCAGUCGAUACGGGCAGACUAGAGUGCUGUAGGGGAGACUGGAAUUCCUGGUGUAGCGGUGAAAUGCGCAGAUAUCAGGAGGAACACCGGUGGCGAAGGCAGGUCUCUGGGCAGUAACUGACGCUGAGGAGCGAAAGCGUGGGGAGCGAACAGG